rnacentral:misc_RNA from 1 species
GAUGAAGAACGUAGCGAAAUGCGAUACUUGGUGUGAAUUGCAGAAUCCCGUGAACCAUCGAGUCUUUGAACGCAAGUUGCGCCCGAAGCCAUUAGGCCGAGGGCACGCCUGCCUGGGCGUCACACGUCGUUGCCCCCCCAUCUACUCCUUCGGGAUUGCGGGGGGCGGAUGAUGGCCUCCCGUGCGCCUCGUCGCGCGGUUGGCAUAAAUACCAAGUCCUCGGCGACGCACGCCACGACAAUCGGUGGUUGCGAAACCUCGGUUGCCCGUCGUGUGCGUUCGUCGCGCAUCGAGGGCUCGAAAAAAUGCUCGGCUCCGGCUGGGCUUUCAACGCGACCCCAGGUCAGGCGGGGUUACCCGCUGAAUUUAAGCAUAUCAAUAAGCGGAGGA